AUUGAACGCUGGCGGCAGGCUUAACACAUGCAAGUCGAGCGAGCGGCGGACGGGUGAGUAAUGUCUGGGAAACUGCUUGCUGGAGGGGGAUAACUACUGGAAACGGUAGCAAAUACCGCAUAACAUCAGAUGUGCCCAGAUGGGAUUAGCUAGUAGGUGGGGUAAUGGCUCACAUAGGCCACGAUCCCUAGCUGGUCUGAGAGGAGGACCGGCCACACUGGAACUGAGACACGCUCCAGACUCCUACGGGAGGCAGCAGAGGGGAAUAUUGGACAAUGGGCGCAAGCCUGAUGCAGCAAUGCCGCGUGUGUGAAGAAGGCCUUCGGGUUGUAAAGCACUUCCAGCGAGGAGGCGUUACUCACAGAAGAAGCACCGGCUAACUACGUGCCAGCAGCCGCGGUAAUUC
rnacentral:rRNA from 1 species